UUAGUUUCUUCUUCUUCUU
rnacentral:snRNA from 1 species